ACUCUUUUAGUAUCAACUAGUAUAGCUGACUUCCAAUCAGUUGGUUCCGGCACAUCCCGGAAAAGAGUA
rnacentral:tRNA from 1 species